rnacentral:tRNA from 1 species
GGACGGAUGGUCGAGUGGUUUAAGGCACCAGUCUUGAAAACUGACGUAUGUGAUGAGCAUACCGUGGGUUCGAAUCCCACUCCGUCCG